GGAAGCGUGGCUGAGUGGUUGAAGGCACCGGUUUCGAAAACCGGCAAUGGGGAAACUCAUUCGAGGGUUCAAAUCCCUCCGCUUCCG
rnacentral:tRNA from 1 species